UCCGAAGGCGAGGGCGAGACGUAGAAGGCGAGGAGCGGAGAAAAGCGAACGAGAAGCGCACAGCCUCGAAGAGGCGAACGUCCGUCGCUACAGCACUGACCGCGAGUCGGCAGAGGAUGUCAGAGUUGAGAAAGAGCGAGAGAAAGAGUGGCGAGCAGAUCUGUGGAGCGCCGUGCAAACGCAUCGUCCAGAAGCCGAUACGGGUGACUGCGAGAACGGCCUGGUGCUUUGCGUCUCCUUGGAAAAACAUGUCUUGCUUUCUCUUUUUCUUUCACCUUCUUUGUUGUCUCUUCUUGGCAAACACUUGCCCUUCUUCGCUGGCAGUUCGCCAUUCCACGGAAGCGACGGAUCUCUCUGCGAUCGGACCUGUUUCGCUCCGCAGAACCAGGCCUCUCCUCGCGUCUUCUCCUCACGUUCUCCCUUUGCUCGAGAGCCGCAGCGCGACGUCUCUCUCUUUCCUGCAUGCGCUGUCCCCUCUCGAGAUAGAGGGCCUUCACCAGAGGUCGCCGUCACCGACGCCUUCUCUUCUGGCUUCUCUACUAGCGUCCACAUGGCGUUCUUCUGCCUCUGAAAAACAGCACGGAAAAGAGACGCUCGGGCGCGCCUCCGCGUGGAGGGAACGCCAGCGAAGACGCUCCAGUUCCCUCUCCUUUGUGACACCGAGGACCGUCUCUGUUCCGCUCUCGCAGCGAUAUUUUUCCUCGCCACCCUGGAAGCCUGAGGGUGCCGAGACACGACGAGCAGAGGCUCUCGACAGCGAAGCGAAGGGGGGGAGGCUGUCUCUUUUUUCUGCUCUUUCGUCGCAGAUAGGCGCGUUCUCCCUGUCUGCUGGCUUCGAUUCAGGAAGCAGCGAAAGAGAUCGAUGGAGGUCUCUGGACGCAAGGCGGCAUCACCUCUUUCCCGAGGGGCCUCCGCGGGGAUGGGGCGCGAGAGACCAAAGGGAGAGAUUGCUGGGAUCUUCUCUCUCGUUUUUUAAGUCGUGGGCGCCUCACCUGCCUCAGCUCAGCUCCAGUCCAG
rnacentral:lncRNA from 1 species